CAGAUCAAUCUGGAACAGAUCUUAACAGAGGAUGAAAUCUACGAAAAAGGGAAGCAGACAGCCUUUAUCUUCGAUCGCGAAAGCAGGGAGGAAGAGGCCGCCGUUACCGAAGCGACAGGGAGAAAGCAUCGGUGGGGAGGAGGUGUAGUCGGCGAGGAAGCAACGCUUGUGUUGUAGCGUUUCCGCUUUCGCUUUCGCUCUUCGUUGCAAAUCUUCGAUCUUCCACUUCUGGUUGUGGUGCAGCCAUCUUCGAUCCGCUUUUCUAAUACUGUGAGAGGAUGUCUUGCGUUCCUCCCGUCCCAUCCGCAUUUGCCAUCAGUAGUUGGUACUCUUCUGGGUAGGCCAUUCUCCAUUGGAUCCAUGCUAAUUUUUUUGCUUCCCCGAGCAGGUUUUCGAUGAACUCCAUUUUUGCUAAGGGGUCAAUAAAUCCUUGUAAAGAUACCCCAUAAUACCACGAAGAACUGUAAUGAGUAAAUGGCUGCUCUUUCAUUCAUUGUGGAGUCAUAUAUUUAUACAUGUAGAAAAGAGAUUGAUUUUCCACAAUUUAUGAAUAUGAAUCAAGAUAAUUGAUCAUUGUAUCAU
rnacentral:lncRNA from 1 species